UCUGUCACCCUCAAAAACAAGUAAACAUUAAAAAAAAAAUUUUUUUUAAAUACAUCAGUUCAGUUCACUUUAUGUGUACCCUUUCUCAGAGAGCUACUGGAAUAAGUGCUCCAACAAAAUGGUAGAAAAAAUCAAGAAGACAUGGGAUAGAAGAAACAAGACCCAUCAUGACAGAGGCAAAUUCUUAGUGUUGUAAAGCACCGCCCUGGGUUUAAAGCUGUUUUCCUCCCUCAUUUUUCUCACCUGUAAACCAGUGAGUUAGGGUGGGGUGGGGGGAGGGGUGACGAUAAACUUCAUAGGGUUACUGCCAAGAUGAGGUGAUUAACAAUUGCAAAGUUUUGCAACCGGCUAAGUGCAUUGGGCGUUAUUUUCUAAGUGCGUGGCAUAUGAAGCAGCUCAUUUAAUCUUCAAAUUAUAAACAUUAUCAUCUCAUUUUCCAGAUGAGGAGACAGAAGCACACAGAUUGAGUAACUUGCUCAGGAUCCUAGUUAGUGGCGGAGCUGAUACGCUAAUUCAGGUGAUCUGGCUCCAAAGACAGUGCUCCUAACAACCAGUCUGUACCGAAACGAAUGAAACACGAUGCGCUCAGUAGACGUUAUGUGUAUGUCUACACAGUGUGCGCCAGUCCGGACAAAGAAGAAUCUCUGUGAGGAUUCACUGAAGGUCAGAAAUCUUCACUGAAACUAUUGCAUCAAUACUGACGGAGAUCAAGAUCAAUAAUGAAAGAGCAACAACAUAAGAAUGAAAACAUUUCUAUGUGAAUUUCAGCAGGAACCCACAUAUUAUCAUGAUGUAUGAAGUUUCCCAUUCGCCUUUCACAGUAAGGACACACAGAUGUGCCUCCUGAUCAUGAUGUGUGCCAGGAGGACAGUGCCCACCAACAUUCCAGAUGUUAACUUCUCUACUAUUGUGGCACUCUUGCCAAUUUCCUACCAUCCCUUCUGUUAUUAGUUGAAAUUGUGGCCCCCGUAAAAAGGUAUGUUGGAAUCCUAACCCCCAGCACCUCAGAAUGUGACCUUUUUUGGAGACAGGAUUUUUUCAGAGGUAACAAUUUAAAAUGAGGCCGUUAAGUUAGACUCUAAUCGAAUAUGGUGUGGUGUCCUUAUGAAGA